rnacentral:misc_RNA from 1 species
GUUUGGUUUUACCCUUUCUUGUAGUCCAAACCCAAGAAUGUGUGGAUGCUUCUCAAUCAAUCUAGCCACAGCUAGCCUCGGAAUUCCCAAGACUUCCAGAUAUUCUACAAAUGGUUUAAUUACCCGACCUACUCGCAUCCCUAAUAUCUCAGGAUAUCUAGUGAGAAGCCCACCAAUUUCUCUUCUUGCCACUCCAAUUCCUACUAAAUAAGCAACUGAUGUACUCAUUGUGCCCUCAAGCUUGAACCCCAACACUUCAGGAUAUUUCUCCAGUACUCGUGGAAUAUCAUUUGGUUUAAUAUCCAUGCCUUGAAGAUAUUUCACAACUGGAGCAAGGUCUACCACCACACUUGCAUGUAGAACUUGUGGGUACCGCCGCAAAAAGUCUGUCAAGGUGGAUUUUCUAACACCCAAUUUGCCCAGAUAAUCAAGCACAGGAAUCAUGUUUUUCUUCACACUGCAUCCCAGAACAAGAGGAUAGUUGUUAAUAUCUUCAAUAGUGAGUCCCAAUUUGUGAAGAA